AGAGUUUGAUCCUGGCUCAGAAUGAACGCUGGCGGCGUGUUUAAGACAUGCAAGUCGAACGGAGUAACAUGAGUAGCAAUACAAGUGUUGCUCAGUGGCGCACGGGUGCGUAACACGUGAGUUACAUGCCCUGCAGAGAGGGAUAGCCCAGGGAAACUUGGAUUAAUACCUCAUGGUCUCGCAAGAGUAAAGAUGGCGCAAGCUGUCGCUGCAGGAUUGGCUCGCGGCCUAUCAGCUAGUUGGUGAGGUAACGGCUCACCAAGGCUACGACGGGUACCUGGUCUGAGAGGACGAUCAGGCACACUGGAACUGAGACACGGUCCAGACACCUACGGGUGGCAGCAGUCGAGAAUCAUUCACAAUGGGGGCAACCCUGAUGGUGCAACGCCGCGUGGAGGAAGAAGGUCUUCGGAUUGUAAACUCCUGUCAUCUAGGAGCAAGGCAUGGUGGUAAAUAGCCAACAUGAUUGAUAGUACUAGAAGAGGAAGGGACGGCUAACUUCGUGCCAGCAGCCGCGGUAAUACGAAGGUCCCGAGCGUUAUUCGGAAUCACUGGGCGUAAAGGGAGCGUAGGCGGCGUGGAAAGUCAGAUGUGAAAUCCCAGAGCUCAACUCUGGAACUGCAUCCGAUACUACCAUGCUAGAGUAUUGGAGGGGUAACUGGAUUUCUCGGUGUAGCAGUGAAAUGCGUAGAUAUCGAGAGGAACACUCGUGGCGAAAGCGAGUUACUGGACAAUUACUGACGCUGAGGCUCGAAGGCUAGGGGAGCAAAAGGGAUUAGAUACCCCUGUAGUCCUAGCAG
rnacentral:rRNA from 1 species